rnacentral:rRNA from 1 species
UGGGGAAUAUUGCACAAUGGGCGCAAGCCUGAUGCAGCCAUGCCGCGUGUAUGAAGAAGGCCUUCGGGUUGUAAAGUACUUUCAGCGGGGAGGAAGGCGAUAAGGUUAAUAACCUUGUCGAUUGACGUUACCCGCAGAAGAAGCACCGGCUAACUCCGUGCCAGCAGCCGCGGUAAUACGGAGGGUGCAAGCGUUAAUCGGAAUUACUGGGCGUAAAGCGCACGCAGGCGGUCUGUCAAGUCGGAUGUGAAAUCCCCGGGCUCAACCUGAGAACUGCAUUCGAAACUGGCAGGCUAGAGUCUUGUAGAGGGGGGUAGAAUUCCAGGUGUAGCGGUGAAAUGCGUAGAGAUCUGGAGGAAUACCGGUGGCGAAGGCGGCCCCCUGGACAAAGACUGACGCUCAGGUGCGAAAGCGUGGGGAGCAAACA